rnacentral:rRNA from 1 species
AUCCGGAGGGGGCUAGCGUUGUUCGGAUUUACUGGGCGUAAAGCGCGCGUAGGCGGCCUGUCAAGUUGGAUGUGAAAGCCCGGGGCUCAACCCCGGAAUUGCAUUCAAAACUGGCAAGCUAGAGACCGAGAGAGGUGAGUGGAAUUUCCAGUGUAGAGGUGAAAUUCGUAGAUAUUGGAAAGAACACCAGUGGCGAAGGCGGCUCACUGGCUCGGUACUGACGCUGAGGUGCGAAAGCGUGGGGAGCAAACAGGAUUAGAAACCCCGGUAGUCC